GCCUCAAAUAACAAGUGGUUUUUGUGUUGGAAAAUAUAAAACACGCAAUGAAGUGGAUGAUGUUCAUUUGACUUCAGAGGACCAACGUGUGUCUCCAAUUUUCUUGAGCUUUCCCAUUUCGUCAAAGGCUCAACAUGAGGCUGUGUGCAUUUUUAGCAUUCGUGUAUGUGAUGACGCCUUCAGGAGUGUGUGGCUUAAAGUGUUUCACCUGCUGGAGCGCAAACCCGGGCACCUGCACUCAGGUGUGGAGCUGUCCUAGAGAGUACGACCGCUGCAGCACCACUGUUGCUGCUGAGAAUAUGAUCACCAAAGAAUGCAUGAGAAGCGACGUGUGCAAUAACGAGGACGCCGUGGGUGUCAGAUGCUGCGCCGAAGACCUGUGUAAUGGAGCUAAACACCGUGGAGUCUUUGUCCCUCUCCUUCUGGCGCCCUUAUUCAUCAUCACGCUCUUCUGUUGAGGAUAAGCUGCCUGAUUUUUACAUUUUCAUGCUUUAAAAAUCAGCUGUGAUGCUUUGAGGGUUUAAACGUGGAGGAAAGGUCCUGGUAAUCAGAGAUAAUCAGAAUAUUUAAAAAUUAAUAUUGAUUAUUUGGAGCAAGGCAUGCCCUGCCUGUUUCCAUGGGUUGAAUUUGAGAAGAGAGCACUAUUUGUUUAAAGUUGACCACACAUGGUCCUGCGUUAGUGAAAGCAGCCAGUAGAGAGCAGUAGAGGAGAAAUAAACUCCUCAUAAUGGUGAGAUUCUUAAAAUAAGAAGCUUGUAGACAGAUAGAUUGCAGUAGUUCUCCUGUUUAUGUCUAUUAUCCAUUCAUAUACUGUAGAUAUGAAGCAAAUGUAUUUGUUAAGUCACUCUAAUAAUAACGUGGUCUGCGAAAUAAAAGCCAAAGAACAACAGCUGGUGUUUAUUCAUUAUCACUUUAGUGUAAGAAACCAAAUCCUCUGUGUACGCUGCAGUCAUUCUGUGAUAUUAGGGGUCAAUAUCAAUAUCAAGUAAAUUCUCACAUACUUACACUUUAAUCUAUAUAAUUAUUAAUAACAGAAUCGGUACAUUAAUAUGGAGAUUACUAUGGAGAGAAGUAAUCAUUUUGCAAAAAAGAGCUUUUGCAGAUUAUUAUAUCUACACUGAGUUACCUUAAAUUUAGCUUCAUGAGUCAUGCUGUCAAUUAAACAAAUUAACUAAUCAUUAUAUAUAACAGUGGCUAUACUUCCCUAAACGCUCCUGGAUGCAGUGGUGUCCAGCUACUUUUCUUAAGUUUGUAAAUCAUAACUACCAAAUACUGUCCAAGUAGUGUAUGAACAAUUACAAUAUAAUAUGAUGUUGGCUCUGGGAUCAUUUUAACUUUGAAGUAGAUUGAGUUAAUGCUUUUUAACGAGGUAAACAAAGCCACAGAAAAAAGGUCAUAUGUUAAUAUGUUGAAGGGACACAUUUUUACCAAUGAAUGCUCAUUCAUGGAUGUCUGAAUGUUUCCAAUUUGAACCGUGCUGCAAAGUGAGUCCAUCCGGCAUGUAGAAGGCAUACCGUGUAUAUCAGUGGGAUUUAGCUGCUGCCAUCUUACACGAGCCAACACUAUGAUAUACAUUUACAUUUUAUAUUUAUAUAUAUAUCAUUUAUUCAGAAACUACUAUUUCAUCUGUUGCAUGUUUGCAAACCACAUGCAGUAGAACUGAAAAUGUAUAGAGACGGUGCUUUUUAUGCCAUAAUUACCACUUCUUAAUGAGAUACAGCUAAUAUAAUAUCAAAAGCAAAUACAAACCUUAUUUGCUCAUGUUAGAUAAAAAACAGGUAUAACGUUCUUAUGUCAUUCUGUAAACUGGACAAUCAUAUUAAAUGCGUCUAUAAUCCUUACAUUUCAUUUGGCUGAUUCUUUUAUCCAAAGCGACUUAUAGUGAGUGCGUU
ensembl:lncRNA